rnacentral:lncRNA from 1 species
AGGGGGAGGCGGGGUUGCAGGAGGCGGGGUCCUGGACCGGCCCCAGGGCCUCCAUCGGGUUCCCUGACGGGCCUCUCCCGUCCUCUCGGCUCUCUUUUGCCUGAAACUUUCAAGGGAGCCUGGAGACCGGAGCAGUCGGGGAGGCCCCAGCGGAAAUGGAAACGGACAAGGCGGCAGCGGCGGAGGGAGCACCUCGAGCAGGGCGCCGAGGCUCAGGGCGGGAAGGGGUCCGCACUCGCUCGCUUGCUCGCUUUCGGGCUGCUUCGGGAAGGCCGGAGCAUCAUCCAUCCCGGGCGCCCUGCCCUCCCCUCCGCUCCCCUCCACCGCGAUCGUGCCCCCCUCCCGCUGCCCUCGGGCCCGGAGGCGACCCGAGCGAGGCCCGUUACCCACCCUCCGAGCCCCCCACGCUGCCUCCGGACACAAGCAGCAGCAGGAGGGCGGACGGACGACUGGGCCCGACACGGCGACGGCGGCAGCGGCAGCAGCAGCAGGAGGAGAUGGAGGCGGCGCCGGAGCGGAGCCGGGCCCGGGCUGCCGAGUCGCGGCCGCCUCCUCCUCCUCCUCCUCCUCCUCCUCCUCUCGUCGGGGCGGCAGCGGCAGCGUCGGCCCCCGCGGAGGUUCGUUCCGCGAGAGCUGGCGGGCGGGCGCCUGGGGGAGUGGGAGCCCGGCUGCCGCUGCAGCCGCCGCCGGAUGGCCCAGGCCUCUGAGGCUGGGGAGCCGGAGCCGGAGCCGCCGCCGCCGCGGGCCGGAUCGAGCGACGCUUUACGUCCCGUCCCCCCCACCCCACCCCCACCCCCGCUCCCUCCCUCCUCCCUCCCUCCACCGCCGCCGCCCCCCCUCCCCUCCCGCUCCGCUCUCUCUCCCUCUCUCGAUUGGAGCCGAGACAAAAGCAACGGGAAGCGGCGGACCUGGACGCUGCCCACGGACCCCCGGCGCGACCGGACCGGCCCCGGAGCCUUCCCCCGCCUCGCGGGGACCCCGGAUCCGCCGCCCCCGCCGCGCGCCCCGCCGCCAGACUUCCGAAAAAUUGCCAAAAACUCACCGCAUGAAUUUUCUUGUCCCGCGGAUCCAAGAUGGCGACGUAUCAACCGCGGAGGCUGCUGGGAGCAGGACCUUUACCCUUUGACCUCCGCCGUGACCCCCCCUGCCGCCGCUCGGGCUCAGCUCGGAGGGGGAGGCGGGUGGCCGGAGCUGCGGUUGUAG